rnacentral:rRNA from 1 species
ACCUUUGACCCAAAUCACCCUGAAUGUGCCCGAUCUCAUCGAAUCUUGGAAGCUAAUCCAAGUUGAACAUGGAUAGCGAUUAGGUGGGUGACCACUAUGCAUGUUUGGUUGUUGUAGGCU